rnacentral:lncRNA from 1 species
CAAGUUCUAAAAAACACAUUUUGUGUAAGAUGCAUGCUGCCUUUAAUGAACCACAUUCUCGAAAGAACAGUACAAGCGGAAGCAGGACACAUCCAUGGAAAGGCUAAGAAUAGCACGAAAGGACACCCAGGAAAGUCACAGCCUCGGGUGACCAGGAGAGAACAGGAUGACACAGAUUCGGAUCAGAUACCCCGCUACUGGAGGCUUAAUUGGAACCUAGUCUGAGGAAGUUUUCUAAGUGAUCGAGGGGAGACUUAGCUGGAAAACAGAAAGUGGGCAGGAUUCCUCUUGCCUACCAAGAGCUUUCAAAAAUCCGAUUCAUCAGGCAAGAACACAGAAUUGUUUACUAUGUGGAAUUAUAACUGUAUAGUUACCCUUGUCCUUUUUGUCUUUGCUU